UAAGACGAACCGAGCGAACGUUGUUCGGAAUCACUGGGCUUAAAGGGCGCGUAGGCGGGUGCUCAAGUCCGUGGUGAAAUCCUCCGGCUCAACCGGAGAACUGCCUCGGAUACUGGGUGCCUCGAGGGUGGUAGGGGUAUGCGGAACUAUCGGUGGAGCGGUGAAAUGCGUUGAUAUCGAUAGGAACUCCGGUGGCGAAGGCGGCAUACUGGACCACUUCUGACGCUGAGGCGCGAAAGCCAGGGGAGCAAACG
rnacentral:rRNA from 1 species